CAAACAAAACAAAGAAAGGAAAAAAACCCUAAACUCAAAAACACAUUACGCAGCUCUCAUCUCACACUCUCUCUCGUUUUUCAGUCUCUCACUCUCAUCUGAUCAGUCUCUCAUACUCACUCUCUCACUCUCAUCUCAUCACUCAUCUCGGCCGAUCAACCUCGCAAGAGAUCGACUCUCACUCAUCCCAAGAUUGACCGAUCGACCUCAUACUCUCAUCGCACCGAUCGACCUCCCAGGUUUUGGUGGUUAGACAAGACCUGAAGAUGGGAGUAUGAAAGAUUGCGUCCCAAUGUGCUCAUGCUGCUACUGGGAUGUAUUCAGAACUGAUGCAAAGUUAUGACAAUGCUAAACACAGGAUUACUUCAUUUAUUCAAGCCCUGAAAUUUACUUUGAUUCUAAUAGUUUGUUUCCCCUCUCAUUCUCUUUAAUAAUUAACAUCCUUAAUGGCAAAAACAAUCUUUUGAGGAGGAACCAAACUUUGUUGCUUGCUGUAGCUGUUCAAAAUAAAGAUUGACAAAAUGGGAAAGAAAAAAAAAAGGUUCAAAAAUCUAAGUGGCAUAAUGAAAUGGCAUAAUGAAAUAAUCUAAGUGGCACUGCACUGCACGAAACAAUCUAAGUGGCAUAAUGAAAUAUGUUUCCUUUCAUAAUAUCUCUAACUAAUCAAGUUUGUUCAACACUUUGUUGCUGAAUUUGUGAGUAUUAUUUAUUUUUAUUCACAGUUAAAUGUUCAAGGAAUUCAAGUGACUGAAUAAUUUCUUGGAAUUAUCUGCUUUUGGGAGAUAAUUAAGAGUAACUUUAACUUUAGUACGUUGGCUUAAAAAGACUCGAGAAUUGAUAAGAGUUACAGUGAUUGUUUAUUUAAUGAGACUGCUUGUUCUGUAGAUUGUCAUUUCUAAUCUGUCAGAACUAUAGGUUGAGUUUUGUGGGAUCUUAGGAAGGCAGGAGUGCCUUUGGCUUACCUAAUGGACCACAUUUAGGUAUGGGUUCAAGGGAAAUACACGAAAUAAGGGUUAUGUUUUUACCAUUUAGUUGAUUGUUAUACUAUGAGCUAAGAUCUUCACUGUGUUCCUAUCUAUGUCUAGUCUUUUUUCCUCAUUCUCUACGGCUAAUUUCAUAACUAAUGAAACUUAUUUAUAAUUAUAAGGUGCAGUGAAUUUUGAAAAUUUAACUACCAUCAAGCUGUAGUUUGUUUUAUGGUGGGCUGAAUUGUUCUUAUGGUCAGUAGAUGUCGCCAACGAUGAAAUAAUCCUCCCCAUCAAGUAUUAGUUUUGCAUGCCGCAUCACUAUACUUUUCAUAUAAUAGACAUAUUUUUAUAAGUCAAAUAGUGAAAUUAAUAUUACUAACUUCAAAAUUAAAGUUCUAACUUUAAAAAUUGUUAGCUAAAAUAAUGUUGUAAUUAUUAAUGUUUAGGUUAUUCUGGUACAAGCAAUAAAUUAUCUAAGGACAAUAAAAUUUGAUACAGAAUGACUAUUAGAGUAAAGCUUAGUAAUUAUUAGUUUUGUUGAAUGUUGACUAUUUUGCAUUUGGAAUGAUAUGUGGCUUUUAUGGCUUUGAGAAUUCUUCUACAAUUUACCUGUGUUCUUUCAUUUUGCUUUUGUUCAAGUUUGAAUUAUUAGUUUAUCUAUUUCUUACCAAAAAGGUGCGCCUCACCUUGCGCCUACGCCUGAAUCUGGCGCCUUGGUGUGCCUUGAGCAUUUAAAAUCACUGGACAGCCACUAUGGAUAAUGACUGCAUGAAUGUAACUUUUUCUUCUCUAAAAGGUUAACUUAGUUUAAGUCAAAGCAAGACGAUUUCCAAAAAUCAGAUGUUUCUUGGGUUUAUUUCUGUGUGUUGUAUAUUUCAGUACUCCACUCCCUAGUCUAAUUACAUCGUGUGGUUUAAAUCUAUUUUCUAUGAAUUACUUGGUAAUUACGAUGUAUGUUGUUUAUUUUGUGUGGUACAAUUUCAUAUAUUUUUGGAUCUUCAAAAGUAAGAUCUGUAUCUACCACUGAAGUUGCAUUUCCUCAAAAGUGAACUGUUUGUGUUCUCUGUAUUUUCUUUAAUAAUUGAGAGUUGUCUGGUUUUCAACCUGAAAAUUGAUUGGUUCUUUUCAAAAAAUUCAUUAUAUCAUACUAUUUCAUAUGCCUAUCCUGGUUAAUGAAUGGAAAAAAAAGUACUUUUGCAUGUAUUCCUUAGUUUUUGACAAUUCCAUGUGAAAUAAUGAAUACCUGUGCAACUUGACUUCAACAUUUGUAAAUUGAAUAUUAUGUCUGUUGAUUUAGUUAUUUGGCUUCAUUCAUCUACUUGAAAUUUCCCCUGGUUUCUAUGGUCAGGUUGUUGCUAGUUUAUCGAAAAUUUAUCCAAAGGUUAUGGAAGCUCCUGCUGGUGGAGUCGAUGACAUGACUAAGCUAUCAUAUUUGCAUGAGCCUGGAGUUUUGCAGAAUUUGGCACUGAGAUAUCAGACCAAUGAAAUUUAUCUAUGGAUGGCUCAGUCAUAAUAUUCUAUCGUACUCUGAAAUUAUGACAGA